CUCUACGACUGUGAGUGUUGAGUUCUGAGAGGGGGCUAUCUUGUUUGAAUGUACAUUGCUAAGCUUAGGCCUAUUUUCCCAACAGCAAAAUUGGUAAUCCAGCAAGAAAUGGCUAUUUCUCACAUUUGUUGGCUGUAAGUGUCUGUUUAAAGUUUCCUUAUAUACAGGUGCUUAACCUGCUUUUACAGUUUGAACAUUUAUUAUGCUAAUGAAAAUUUUUUGAAUGGUUUCACCUCCAGUUUUCCUCUUUAUACAUAUUUGGUAUUUUUUCAGGGUAAGGACUAUCUGCAAAAUCUGAGAUUGGGUUUUGAAAGACAGCAGCCUUUGUUUUGGAGAGAUAAUGGGAACUGCAGAUGCUGGAGAAUGCGAGAUAACACCGUGUGGAACUGGACGAAGACAGCAGGCCAAGCAUCAUCUUAGGAGCACAAAAGCUGAUGUUUCGGGCCGAGAACCACCUUCAGAAAAUGGGGAGGGGGUGCGGGUUCUGGAUUAAAUAGGGAGAGAGGGGGAGGCGGAUGGAAGAUGGAUGGAGGAGAAGGUAGGUGGAGAGGAGAGUAUGGGUAGGGAGGCAGGGAGGGGAUAGGUCAGUCUGGGGAGGCGGGACAGGUCAAGGGAGCGGGAUGAGGGGAAAUAGGGGUGCGGCAUGAGGUGGGAGGGGGGAUGGGUGAGAGGAAGAAUAGGUUAGGGAGGCGGGGACGAGCUGGGCUGGUUUCGGGACUCAGUGGGAGGACAGGAGAUUUGGAAGCUUGUGAAAUCCACACUGAUACCAUUGGGCUGCAGGGUUCCCAAGCAGAAUAUGAGUUGCUGUUCCUGCAACCUUCGGGUGGCGUCAUUAUGGCACUGCAGGAGGCCCAGGUUGGACGUGUCCUCUCAGGAAUGGGAGGGGGAGUUGAAAUGGUUAGUGACUGGGAGGUGCAGUUGUUUAUUGCAAACUGAGCGUAGGUGUUCUGAAAAGCGGUCCCCAAGCCUCUGCAUUGUUUCCCCAAUGUAGAGGAAGCCACAACGGGGACAGCGGAUGUUUUGGAUAUUUCUUCAGCAUUGAUUUUCAUUCAGAGUUGGUUCGAUUUUGCUGAAGCAAUAGACAUAACUCACUAUGACGUAGACAAUGUCAGAGUUAAUGUUUCGCGUCCUGUGACCCUUCCUCAGAUCUCACUCUUCACUGAUGCUGCCAGACCUGCUGAGCUUUUCCAGCAACUUCUGCUUUUGUUGCUGAUUUACAGUGCCCACAGUUCUUUUGUUUUUUACAACACAGACAAAACUUGAUCUCUGCAGGAAGCAUGAUGCUGCAUUCUCCAACUUCCCUGGCCUUUUGUAAUAUAAUAUUGUCUUUUUAGGACAGAAGUGGCUUUUUUUUUGUUUUAACUUCUGCACAUGCUUUCUAUGCAGGUUAAAAGUCUACACCUUUUCAGUUCACUGCAGUGCUGCAUAAUGAAGACUUGGAACAAUUUUUUUUAUGAAGUAGAAAAUCAGUGUGGUUUGUUUUCCAAAAUGUGAUGUCAGCUUUCCUGGAGCAAGUCUGUUUUCCUUCGGAUGAGACGACUUUCAGACAUACUCCCUUUAUUAUGAGAUAUAAUUGGGGUAAAAUGAGGAGGAUUUUUAUUCACUGAGACACACAUGACUAUAUGUUUAAAUCAUUGGAAAAUGCAUUCUGUUAGGACUGUCAUGUUAUCUGGUGUUUGGACCAGGCUUUCCGAUUAAAUGCAAGUGAUGAAGGAUGCUAAUGAUGCCACAUGUUAUUACAAGAGGAAAUGAACUUCCAAGUAAGGAUUUUAUGCCACAUUUAUACACAGCAUGGACCACGCAGCAUGGAUGCAGUGACUGAGUGAAAUGGGAUGCAGUGGCUGUGGGAAAUGGGAUGCAGUGACGGAGUGAAAUGGGAUGCCGUGACAGAGUGAAAUGGGAUGCUCACAGCGAAUUGCCCCCUCCAUCCUGACCCUCUCGCAGCGACCUGACCCGCUCACACUGACUCGCCCCUGCAGUCCUGACCCGCUCACAGUGACUAGCCCCUGCAGUCCUGACCAGCUCACAGCGACUUCUCUCUGCAGUCCUGACCCACUCACAGCGACCUACCCCUCCGUGCUGACCCGCUCAGAGUUGCCCCUGCAGUCCUGACCCCCCUCACAGUGACCUGCCCCCUCACUCCUGACCCGCUCUGCAUUGAGGAAACCAAGCGGAGGCUUGGGGACCGCUUUGCAGAACACCUCCGCUCGGUUCGCAACAAACAACUGCACCUCCCAGUCGCAAACCAUUCUAACUCCCCCUCCCAUUCCUUAGACGACAUGUCCAUCAUGGGCCUCCUGCAGUGCCACAAUAAUGCCACCCGAAGGUUGCAAGGACAGCAACUCCUCAUCCGCUUGGGAACCCUGCAACCCAAUGGUAUCAAUGUGGACUUCACAAGCUUCAAAAUCUCCCCCUCCCCAACUGCAUCCCAAAACCAGCCCAGUUCUUCCCCUCCCGCUACUGCAUCACAAAACCAGCCCAGCCUGUCUCCGCCUCCCUAACCUGUUGUUCCUCUCACCCAUCCCUUCCUCCCACCUCAAGCCACACCUCCAUUUCCGACCGACCACCUCAUCCUGCCUCCUUGACUUGUCCGUCUUCCCUGGACUGACCUAUCCCCUCCCUCCCUCCUCACCUGUACUCUCCUCUCUACCGAUCUUGUUUUCUCUCCAUCUUCGGUCCGCAUCCCCCCCUCUCCCUAUUUAUUCCACUUCCCUCUCCCAUCCCCCUCUCUGAUGAAGGGUCUAGGCCUGAAAUGUCAGCUUUUGUGCUCCUGAGAUGCUGCUUGGCCUGCUGUGUUCAUCCAGCUCCACACUUUGUUAUUUUGGAUUCUCCAGCAUUUGCCAUUAUCAGUGGCCUUUCCUCUUUGUCAAAGUUUGUGCAAAAGCAACACGAUAUGGGGCGGCACGGUGGCUCAGUGAUUAGCUCUGCAGCUUCACAGCACUGGGGACUCAGGCUCAAUUCCAGCCUCAGGCAACUGUUUGUGUGGAAUUUGCACCUUGACCCUGUGUCUGCGUGGGUUUCUUCCAGGUGCUCCGGUCUCCUCCCACAGUCCAAAGAGGUGCACGCUAGGUGGAUUGGCCAUGCUAAAUUGCCCAUAGUGUUCAGGGGCGUGGGUCUGGGUGGGAUGCUCCAAGGUUUGGUGUGCAGUUGUUGGGCCAAAGGGCCUGUUUCCACACUGUAGGGAAUCUAAACAAUCCUGUUCCCACAUCUCCAUGUUAUAACCCUGCUGCGCACUGCACACAGAGAUGUUUGAUAACAAAAGGAUAACAAUAAUAUUCAAACCCAGUGCUGGAGAUGUAUUUUAAAUACACUGAGGCCAGUGUCGAUCUCCAAUUCAACUUUUAUUUACAAAUGAACUGUCUUCAACUUUAGCACUGCCUCAUUCAGAGAUAGUUGCCAGGGUGUCAGCAUCUCUGACCCUCACACGACUUAGCUGUCAGUCAGGGCUCCCUGAUUUGGGCUGUUAAUGUGGACCAGUCAGGCAACUCAUAUUCUGUGAGGUUCAACUGGCCGACCUGGUCACAAACCAGUGCGGUGUGUUCAUCGAAAAUCAAACAUGUACUAGAAAGGUACCAUUACAUACCAGUGCAAAGGAAGGCAUGAGGCUAAACUGGGGAGGGAAGGGAACUGCUUAUUGGGGGUGGCUCAGAGAGUGGAAGAAAAUCGAAUGGGAAGAAGACCAUUUGAGACUGAGGGAGAGAGAUGUAAUUGCCUGAAUGAGGCAUUCCAAUUGCGAAAUGGAUUUUUGUGUGUACACCCUGUUCAGUUUCCCCGAUCUUAAUCUGUCCUCCUCUUUAAAUCAUUCGUAUCUGAAAUUUCUGUAUCAUUUCCAAAUGCUCUGUCUCUAAUGUUAUGCUGUUGGAAUUGUUUGAACUGCAGAGAUAUCAUUUAUUUGCACAAAUGUGUUCAGUGAAAUGAGUUGCAUGCUAUAUAUGUAUUAUUCUUCCUGAUUCUAUUAUACGCAUACAAAUUAAAGUUAGUUCCACUUUUGAACAACAAA